rnacentral:rRNA from 1 species
CCUANGGGGGGCAGCAGUGGGGAAUAUUGCGCAAUGGGCGAAAGCCUGACGCAGCGACGCCGCGUGUGGGAUGACGGCCUUCGGGUUGUAAACCACUGUCGCGAGGGACGAAACAAAUGACGGUACCUCGAAAGGAAGCACCGGCUAACUCUGUGCCAGCAGCCGCGGUAAUACAGAGGGUGCGAGCGUUGUCCGGAAUUACUGGGCGUAAAGGGCGCGUAGGCGGCCUGAUAAGUAUGGGGUGAAAUCUCAAGGCUCAACCUUGAGGCUGCCUUGUAGACUGUCAGGCUUGAGCACGGUAGAGGCAGAUGGAAUUCCCGGUGUAGCGGUGGAAUGCGUAGAGAUCGGGAAGAACACCAGUGGCGAAGGCGGUCUGCUGGGCCGUAGCUGACGCUGAGGCGCGACAGCGUGGGGAGCAAACAGGAUUAGAUACCCGANUAGUC